UUGAAAGUACUUUCAGCAGUGAGGAAGGUGGGUAUGUUAAUAGCAUACUCAUUUGACGUUAGCUGCAGAAGAAGCACCGGCUAACUCGUCGCCAGCAGCCGCGGUAAUACGGGAGGGUGACGAGGACGUUUAAGUCGGUAAUUACGUGGGACGUAAAGGCGACAUGCAGGUGGUUUAGUUAAGUCAGAUGUAGAAACGGCCCGGGGCUACAACCGUCGGUAAUUGCUAUUUAGAAACUGGACAAACUAGAGUACUGUAGAGGGGGUAGAAUUUCAGGUGUAGCGGUGAAAUGCGUAGAGAUCUGAAGGAAUACCGGUGGCGAAGGUGGCCCCCUGGACAGAUACUGACACUCAGAUGCGAAAGCGUGGGGAGCAAACAGGAUUAGAUACCCUGGUAG
rnacentral:rRNA from 1 species